AAGUCGUAACAAGGUUUCCGUAGGUGAACCUGCGGAAGGAUCAUUAUCACGUAUCCACGUAUAAACCACUGCGAACUGUAUUCCCUUCAGAGGGUUAGGGUCUCCUUAACGGAGAGCUUUGGGCCAAUAGUCUUCUCAAUUUCGUGAUGGAGAAGCGGUCUAGAGUUGUUUCACGACACCUUAGUCUUUUGGAGCGGUUAUUCAUCACGAACCGUUUAAACUUAUUAACCCCUUUAAACUUUUGAACUGAAUUUUAAGCUUUUGAUGUAAGAGCGUCUUUCGGGAUGUUCUGAUCAAAUGUCUUAUACUUACGAAAUAUUCGAACAAUUCUUAACAACGGAUAUCUUGGCUCUGAUAACGAUGAAGAACGCAGC
rnacentral:misc_RNA from 1 species